CGACGCCGGCCGGCGCGAAUGUCGCAACAACUGCCUACAAGCAUAUAGCAAACUUCGCGUCUAGUGACGGAUAAAAAGAACACCAUGUAUUGUGAUUUUACACCGAUUUAAAGUGGACCAAUUUUUACACGAGAUCCAAGAUAAUCAGAAUCCGUUGACACACGUAAAAUGUCUUGAAGUUGGGAACAAAUACCACAGAAGGCGCUAAUGUGAUGUCUUGGCGUGAUGCAACUUGUAAUGGUCAACUUUCUCAUCAUGUUUGACGUGGUAUUCAUUUUCUUCUUAUUCCUCAUCGCCGUGACUUGUAUCAUGAACUAUAUGCCUGGUAAGAAGCGGCAAGAGGUGACUGAAGAAGACGUGGAGAGUGACGUCAUCCCUCCACCGCCGCUAUUCGCUGGUGACGAAGCCUGUGCGAGCCGGGACACCUAUGUGGUAAUAUCACCACCGAUUGACACUGAUAGAACCAAAGACGGGUGUCCUAUACACGUGGUGUAGUAUAAGGAAUUGUAAACCUAGGAGUUUAUUAUGAAGAAGCCUUAUAAGAUGGUAGGUAACGUCAGAAUAAAGGCGUUUUUUUACAGUUUAGAUGUCUAUAAUAUUGUUUUAAGACUAACAGUUGAAAAUUGGGACUCAAGUGAUGAAAUCGUUGGAAAGACUUGAAACAUUCGGGUAUCGGUGGACGCAAUAGAAGUAAAAAUGAAAAUAUUUAAAACUGUUGUAGAUGCUAAAAUAGGCACAUUGUAUUUACUAGUUAAAUAUUGGAUAUCUCAUGAUAGAAUAUGACAGAGAAUGUGUUUGUCUGAUCGUUAAUUACAAAAUUAAUUUUGACGUGACAACGUCUUAAAUUAGGUUGCGGCUCGGAGUCACUCAUGAAAAAGUGUAACGCCCGGUAACGUUACGAUGAGUCACCGAACUAUGA